rnacentral:rRNA from 1 species
CCUCGGGUGGCAGCAGUGAGGAAUAUUGGUCAAUGGGCGCGAGCCUGAACCAGCCAAGUCGCGUGAGGGAGGACGGCCCUACGGGUUGUAAACCUCUUUUGCCGGGGAGCAACGGGCGCCACGUGUGGCGCCACUGAGAGUACCCGGAGAAAAAGCAUCGGCUAACUCCGUGCCAGCAGCCGCGGUAAUACGGAGGAUGCGAGCGUUAUCCGGAUUUAUUGGGUUUAAGGGGUGCGUAUGCGGAUCGUUAAGUCAGUGGUCAAAUUGAGGGGCUCAACCCCUUCCCGCCAUUGAAACUGGCGAUCUUGAGUGGAAGAGAAGUAUGCGGAAUGCGUGGUGUAGCGGUGAAAUGCAUAGAUAUCACGCAGAACCCCGAUUGCGAAGGCAGCGUACCGGCCGGUCACUGACGCUGAGGCACGAAAGCGCGGGUAUCGAACAGGAUUAGAUACCCUGGUAGUC